rnacentral:lncRNA from 1 species
UCGGAGGGAGCGGACGACUUGUCGUUCCCGUCGACGGCGGAGAUUGUGUGGUGAAUGGACGGUGGAGAUGGGGCUGUUGGGGGGGCGUCGUCGUCCUUGAGGGCCAACCAUGAGGUGGUGAUGUCGUCGGCUCGGGUGGACUUGGAGGUGAGUUUGGGUACCGUCUCGGGUUCGAGGGUGGUGCCACCAAGUGGGUCUAUCCAGCUUUGCCACGUGUGUUGGGAGCGGAAAGGUGAGGUGGAAGUGGAGAAGGUGGAGGAGGAGGAGGGGUUGAAGACUUCGAGGGAGCCGCGUGAGUCUCUUGGGAAUGGUGGGAUGAGAGAGGGUGGCGUUGUGUCUGGUUCG